UUCUGCCUUUUUGUUCUCUAUCCUGCUCUUGUUGCCAUGACUUGAUGACUUGUUUCUGGAUUAUUGAGCACACUUCCAUUACAGCCAGAGCAAUAGUUAGUUCUACCCUUUCCUUCUGAAUCCUCAGUGGUUUCCUUGCGUCUCUCUAUGUUUCCACGGUGGGCGGGACUAAAACACAGGUGAGGGAAACGGAAGUGAGAGGUAACCUGUAGGUAGGACAGAGGUGAGCGCUCUCUCUCUCUGUCACCUGUCUGGAAACACAGAAGAGAAGCAGCGCGAGGACGAGUUGUUCCAAAGUUCAGAGCUGCUGUUCUGUGAUCACAUUUCCUUAAAGAAGACUUCAGAUUAAAGAUGAACACAGAGAGAUGAGACCUUAAAAACCUCCUGCUGUGUUUCUCUGCUAUGGAUCAGUGUGAGGACAGAGAGGAGGGAGUCCCUCCCUCUAAAAGCUCUCUGUGUGGGGAACAUGACAGCCAGACCAAAGCUCAGAGG